UAUUUUUAUUUAUUUUUUUUUUUUUAAUUUUUUGCCACACCCAUGGCACAUGGAAGUUCCUGGGCCAGGGGCUGAAUCUGUACCGCAUUUGCAGCCUGCACCACAUCUGUGGCAAUGCCAGAUCCUUUACCCACUGCGCCACAGGGGAACUUCUGGAUUUUUUUUAAAAUGUGUAUCAUAAGUGAUCCUGAUACAGAUAGUUAAAGAAUUGAGUUUUGAGAAGCAUGGUCAUGAUGCCUUCAGAUUCUUAAUCAUAAGAAGUCAGUUUUGCAAAUAGCAGUAGGCCUUUAAUUUCUCCAAACUCCUUGCAUUUCUUUGUAACAGAAUGUCAGGCAAAAGCAAACACAAAGUUGUGUUUUUGUGUUACAAGAUUUAAAGGAGGGUCUAUAGAGAGCACACGUGAGGUCUCAGAUUGUUCAUAAGCUCUCUACUUUGUAUUUUAAAUAAUAUUCUAAGCAAUGUAGAGCAUAGCCAAGAAAGGAGAUAAUGAAAAGUAUUCCCAAGUGUCAACUAUGCUUCAUGACCUUGAGCACCACAAUUUUCUAGCGAACAGUGGCUUUGAUAUUAUUAGUACACAAGCUAGGUUCUAAAAUGCUCUUUCAUGGUAGGCACAAAAAGCAAGAUGACCUUAGUCGGAAAAGAGUUGUUGAUGCCCAUAGGAAUUAACUUAUACUUUGUAAGCAACAGGCACACCAUUCCCUAUGUAAAUUAAUGCUGGUCAGCAGUGGUUUAACAAACCUGUAGUAUUAGAAUCUCCCAGAAUACUCAUUCCUAUGUCAGUGAGGAGUGAGAUGUGAAUAAAAAAGUUACUAAGUUAGUGUUCUCUUGCAGUGAGAAAAUGCAAUUCCUUAUUUUAAGAAGGAGCAAGUUGAAAAUACUAACUUUUCUAUGGAGUUAAGUACCAGAGACUUCAAGGCAUCUCAUUUAAAUGUAAAAACUACAUUUAUUAGUGGCAGGUGAGCGUAGGUAGCCAAUUGCAGGACAUCUUAGUAUAUUAAAUUUAGCUGCUGGCCCCCCAACAGAAGAAAUAAAAUGUUAUAUAAAUGCCUAACUAUAGUUAUGAUCUUUUUUCCAACUAAAAUGAUUCCUUCAGAAUAACAGUUUAUCAUAAAUGCAUUGAUCUGUGUUUAAGUGAAUAAUUACAUAGUUAACAGUGAUAGAUGCUAUUUUAAGUUGCAAGAACAGAAAGACACUAGAGGAUACACUGAAAGUAAGGAAAACAGCCUGAGUUAGGGAAAGAAAGGAAAUCUGAGUUAUGUUCAAUAUACACACAUGCAGUUCUGGGUUUGUUGUUGUUUGGCUUCAGCAACAGGAUUCCUUUUCUCCUCACAUGGCAGCUAUUCCACCAUUAUUGUGAAUCAGCCUUUCUCUGUCUUUUUGUUGCUUCUGUCAUCACUGACUUUCUACCCCACUUCUCUGUUUCCUGGCCUCUGCUUUUCCAUCGCUUAUACACUAUUGCCUUCUCUUCAGCAGUCUUCGUUUCUGUCCUCACUACCAACUUUUUAUUUCCUUUUUUCAGCUGCCCUAAGAAGGCAUCUUGAUGAUUUACUUUAUCAUGGUUGUUUGACUUUGUGUCUUAGGUCACCUCCCGAGCAGCUGGUUGGCCUGGAGAGGAGCAACCCCUAGAUUAAGCAUCUACUCUGUUUUAGUCACUUCUGUCCAGAAUGGCAGCUUCACUUUAUCCAGAAGGGACUGUGAGCUUAGCAGCAACUUUGAGAACCAGUAUAAGUGAUUGAUCUGGUUUUAUGGAGGUGCUGGAAAUUUGUGCAGUAUGUGAAUACACUGGGAAUCAGCCUUCUAAAAACAAAGAACCUCGCUGGUUCAGGCUAGUUGGAGGAGUAUAGCAAUACAUCCGUCUUGAGUUAAUGAAAUACCUGAAUUACAGAACAUUUGGCACAGUUGAUUUAUAGAUUCAGUAACAUCUUAAAAUUGAAAGGGAGACUGUACCGAAAGUAAAGAUAAAAAUAUCUGGUUGGAAGAGUUCCUGUUGUGGUGCAGCGGAAACAAAUCUGACUAACAUCCAUGAGGACGCAGGUUCGAUCCCUGGCCUCGCUAGGUGGUUAAGGAUCCGGCAUUGCCAUGAGCCAUGGUGUAUGUCGCAGAUGAGGCUUGGAUCUGGCAUUGCUGUGGCUGUGGCGCAGACCAGCAGCUACAGCUCUGAUUCGACACCUAGCCUGGAACCUCCAUAUGCUGCAGGUGUGGCCCUAAAAAAAAAAGACAAAAAAAAAAAUCUGGUUGGAAAUACCAUAUGCUAUCAUUUAGACAUAAAAUAUGAUAUGAAUGAACCUACUUAUGAAAUAGAAACAGUCACAGACAUAGAAAACAAACGUAUGGUUACCAAAGAGGAAAGGAGCAGAGAGGGAUAAAUUAAGAGUUUGGAAUUAGCAAAUACAAACUACUAUGUAUAAAGUAGAUGAACAACAAGAUCCUACUGUAUAGCAUGGGGAACUAUAUUCAGUAUCCUGUAAUAAAGAAUAAAGGAAAGAAUAUAUAUAUCUGAAUCACUUUGUUGUACACCAGAAACUAACAAUAUUGUAAAUCAAUUAUACUUCGACAAAAAUAAACAUACAUUUUAAAAACCUC
ensembl:lncRNA